rnacentral:lncRNA from 1 species
GACGAGCCGUUACAAAGUUAUUAAAGAAAUAGACGUUUAGGUUUCGGGUCCGCCGGGAGGGCCGAGGCGACGUCGUAAAAUCAUGGAAAUGGAUUUGAGGCAUCGUGGCACAUAACCGAAGACCUAUAAUUUUCGGGGCUGCGAAGCGGAGCACGGUUGAGGCGCAGUUGCAGUAUCGGGCCGUGCCAGAUACGGGUGCCGCGGGAGGCCGAUUGCAAGUGUCGACAAGCAAUCGGAACGCGAAUUAAGGUGGGUUGGUUUACCGAAGCGACUAGGUCGCCUAUAUGUCUAAGUGAUAGACUUUCAUGUUGAUGCAUGUUAAUAAUAACAUAGAUGAUGCAUGUGAUAGAAUGCUAAGUAUAAGCAUGUAAAAUGAUGUUAGUUAAUGACAUGACAUAAAGGAUAUUUGUAUGCCAACAUAAAGUAGAAAGCAUGCUUAAUGUUGUAGUAUAAAGCAUAACGACAUAGAGUGAAUAAUGAAAGGCUAAGAAUGCUAAGUAGAGAGCAUGUGAAGUAAAGUAUAUAAAUGCUAUGUGAUGAUGCAUGUGAACUAAAUGUAAGAGUGCUAGAGUGAAUGCAUCAAAUAAUGAUAAGCUAAGAAUGCUAAGUAUAAGUGAUAAGUAUAAUAUGGAAAUACUAAAUGCAAGUACAUGGUAGGAAUGCUAAGUAAAGGGCAAGUAUAGGUGGACAUGAAUUAACCUAUAGAUCGAGUGGCAUUAAACCUAGUGUCAAGAACAUAGGUUGAACAAGUGUGACAUGAACCUAAUGUUAGAUAACAUAGGUUGUGAGUUAAAGAUAAUAACCUAGAGUUAAAGUAAACCUAGGUAUUGUGGUAAAAGUGGUUAACCUAGAGUUAAGUGAAUCUAGGUUGGAAAGAAUGAUGAUCCUAGUGUAAUGGACCUAGGCUAAGAAUGUGAAAGCAAUAAACCUAAUGUAGUAAUAUAGGUUGAGUAAAGGCUUAGACCUAGAGAGGUCAGUUCCAUAGGGUUAAGACCAACCCUUGGUAAAUGUGAUAUGGAUUCCGGAAUCCCAAAGCUUGCUGAUACACCCAAAGUGGUGUCGGGUGUGUGCGACGAUUUCGCCGCCCAGGGGCUAAUGAACCAUUGUCGUGGCGUGUGUGCGACGAUUUCGCCGCCGGAUGGUUAGCCAGUUUGUGGAUCCUACCGCCUGUUGACUGAACCACUGUCGUGGCGUUUGUGCGACGAUUUCGCCGCCGGGUGGCUAAGUCAUGGACCUAGGCCGUUGUUGGGUGAGGUGCGAUUCGUUCGCCGCCAGACGGCUAGGACAGGAGUACGGUGAGCUGUUGCCAGCUGAGGUGCAUGUGAGAGUUCCUUCACCUCGAGCUAGACAGUGCGCGGACUAUCCGCGAUUGAUUGACUCAAGACCGAGUCGGGUGGCAUAGAGAACUAAGGUAAGAGAAACCUUAGGAAAGAAUGGCCAGUGGAAAAGUGCGACAAAGUGUAAAGAAUAAAGAAUAAGUAAAGAAUAAAGAUCGGCUAAGGAAUAAGAAUAGCUGAUAAGUAAAGAAAGGUUACAAGUAAAGAAUAGCUAAGAGCUAAAAGUAAACAUUAAAUGACAAGAGUAAAGAAUGAUUAAGAAUAUAAGUAGCGUUAAAGUAACCUACUUGCAUGAUUACAGGUAUUGCAUAUUGCAUUUCGUGAGGCAUGACAUGUAUUUCAAUUGAAUAUAUAUAUCUGUUGUAUAUUGUUGAACUAACAUGUUGCAGUGCCUCGUUAGACCUGUUGGUUGAGCUGGUUCUCUUGGGUGGCUAAACCCACUGAGGACUAUGGACAAUAGUCUCACCCCCGUGUUGCUAUUUUGGGGGUACAGGUACACACGUGUGCAGCGCGGCGGCACAAGGCGAGGGCGUAGUUCUGCAGAUAGCGCCCUACCCCAGAGACCAGAGCUAGCAGUACCCCAUCUAUAUAGCUUAGGGGUAAAGGAAAUGAAAAGAAUACAAUGUAUCAAACUUGUAGUAAGUAAAUGUUGUAAUAACUUAGAUUGCAUUUGGAUGAAAAAGAAUGGAAACUGUGAUGUAAAAACUAUGAAAGUGAAUGAAUGUAAUAACUUAGGAUGUGUUUAUGUUGUAUAAUACCUUCCACUUGCAAUCUUGAUUGAUAUCUGUUCUUGGUUGGAACCUUCGUGAAUUGUAUUGAUUGCGAUGUCUUAAAUGUACAGGGGAGACUCUGUCCGUAGUACAGGGGAAACCCUAUCCAUUCGGCGAUGUCGGCGGCGCCGGGACCUCGGCCAAAUAGGCGGGUGGUCGCGGGCUGUGAC